rnacentral:rRNA from 1 species
GUGGGGAAUCUUCCGCAAUGGACGAAAGUCUGACGGAGCAACGCCGCGUGAGUGAUGAAGGUCUUCGGAUUGUAAAGCUCUGUUAAUCGGGACGAAAGAGCCUAGUGUGAAUAAUGCUAGGAAGUGACGGUACCGGAAUAGAAAGCCACGGCUAACUACGUGCCAGCAGCCGCGGUAAUACGUAGGUGGCAAGCGUUGUCCGGAAUUAUUGGGCGUAAAGCGCGCGCAGGCGGAUCUGCCAGUCUGUCUUAAAAGUUCGGGGCUUAACCCCGUGAUGGGAUGGAAACUACAGAUCUAGAGUAUCGGAGAGGAAAGUGGAAUUCCUAGUGUAGCGGUGAAAUGCGUAGAUAUCGGGAGGAACGCCAGUGGCGAAGGCGACUUUCUGGACGAAAACUGACGCUGAGGCGCGAAAGCCAGGGGAGCGAACGGGAUUAGAUACCCGAGUAGUCC